rnacentral:tRNA from 1 species
GGGGAUGUAGCUCGAUGGCAGAGCAAUCGGCUUUUAACCGAUUGGGUGUGGGUUCGAGUCCCACCAUCCCCACUA